rnacentral:lncRNA from 1 species
UUUUUCAUCAAAAUUUAUUGUUCAAGAUGCAUUGAUAUCUAUGAGGUGUGUUUUUGAAUUUUAAUAUUCAAUGUAUACAUAAACAUGCUUUUCUUUUGGAAUUUUGGAAUUUUAGAUUUUCGUUCUUUAUUCUUAAUUCGUCUAUCUAUUUCACAAAAUGAUGAUAUAUGAUAAGAAUUACUGAGCGGGAAAAUCUUAAAUUCUAUUUUGGCCAAACAACGUUUUCAACCAAAUUGAUCAUAGUUUUGGAAUUCGAAAAAAAAAAACUCUGAUUGAUCUGGAAUUUGGUAGAUUCAUAAGAACGACCUAGUA